rnacentral:rRNA from 1 species
UGGGGAAUAUUGCACAAUGGGCGCAAGCCUGAUGCAGCCAUGCCGCGUGUGUGAAGAAGGCCUUCGGGUUGUAAAGCACUUUCAGCGAGGAGGAAGGUGGUGAACUUAAUACGUUCAUCAAUUGACGUUACUCGCAGAAGAAGCACCGGCUAACUCCGUGCCAGCAGCCGCGGUAAUACGGAGGGUGCAAGCGUUAAUCGGAAUUACUGGGCGUAAAGCGCACGCAGGCGGUUUGUUAAGUCAGAUGUGAAAUCCCCGGGCUCAACCUGGGAACUGCAUUUGAAACUGGCAAGCUAGAGUCUCGUAGAGGGGGGCUAGAAUUCCAGGUGUAGCGGUGAAAUGCGUAGAGAUCUGGAGGAAUACCGGUGGCGAAGGCGGCCCCCCUGGACGAAGACUGACGCUCAGGUGCGAAAGCGUGGGG